ACGGGUGAGUAAUAUAUCGGAACGUGCCCAAUCGUGGGGGAUAACGUAGAGAAAUUUACGCUAAUACCGCAUACGAUCUAAGGAUGAAAGCGGGGGAUCGCAAGACCUCGCGCGAUUGGAGCGGCUGAUAUCAGAUUAGCUUGUUGGUGAGGUAAAAGCUCACCAAGGCGACGAUCUGUAGCUGGUUUGAGAGAACGACCAGCCACACUGGGACUGAGACACGGCCCAGACUCCUACGGGAGGCAGCAGUGGGGAAUUUUGGACAAUGGGCGAAAGCCUGAUCCAGCAAUGCCGCGUGCAGGAAGAAGGCCUUCGGGUUGUAAACUGCUUUUGUACGGAACGAAACGGUCUGCCCUAAUACGGCGGGCUAAUGACGGUACCGUAAGAAUAAGCACCGGCUAACUACGUGCCAGCAGCCGCGGUAAUACGUAGGGUGCGAGCGUUAAUCGGAAUUACUGGGCGUAAAGCGUGCGCAGGCGGUUAUGUAAGACAGUUGUGAAAUCCCCGGGCUCAACCUGGGAAUUGCAUCUGUGACUGCAUAGCUAGAGUACGGUAGAGGGGGAUGGAAUUCCGCGUGUAGCAGUGAAAUG
rnacentral:rRNA from 1 species